rnacentral:lncRNA from 1 species
UAUUUUUAUUUUUUUACUGACCUUUCCUAGAGUGACACUACAACAAAAACGGGCUAUAGCGACACUUUUAAAUAUAGGUACAGGUCAAAAAAAGUGCUGUUGGCUAAAUUACCGACACUUUUAAAAAGUGUUGCUAUAUGUGGGGUCGCUAGGUAUAUAGUGACAGUUAAAGAGUGUCGCUAUAAUCUAAAAAAGUGCUUCUAAUUUACCAAUAUUUAUUUAAUCAUUUAACAGCCGUCAGAACUCUACUUCGUUGGCUGCGGUAGCGGAGGAGGACGAGAGGAAGGGAUUUUCGUCUUGGAUUUCAGUCGAUUAAGUGAGGGGAGAAGGGGAAAUGGUAAUCGAUUUUUCUUUUCUUUUUCUUUUUUGUUUGUAAUCGGACCGAAUGGGCUGGGUGCGGUGGGUUGAGUAGAGUAACCUUUUAUUUUUGGUUAGAUUGGACUUUAUAUUUAAGCAUUAGUAGAUUUUUUUUUUAAGUUUUGGCAUAAAUUAGACACUUACACAUAAGUGUCCCAAACAUGUGUCCCUAUAAUCUAAUUCCGUUGUAGUGGAGUGGCAAAGGCUUGGUGGUUAGUACUUGAGGUUUCAAGUUCGAAUCCUACUUGAUUCACAUUUCUAGCUAAAUUUAUUUUCUAAAUGAAAUAAACAAAGCGGGUAGCGUGCUACCUAUAUCUCUCAAACAAAAAUUAUUUUUAUUUUUGAAAUAAACUAGUAUUAUAGAUACAGAGUAACGAAAAAAAAAUUGUGUUUUGGUUUAAUAUUUUUUUAUUCCCUAGAAUAAG